GGAAAAACAAAAAUUAAAAGUGAGGCUUCGAAGAGCUCCGCCGUCAAGGGUGAACAAACAAUUUGCACUUUCAUCUUCCUCCUCCGGCUGAGCAUAAAAACCCAUUCGAACAAAGAGAUAGUAAUAUAGUUUUGGAAAAAUUUAGCUGAAAAAAUGGCUAAUGCUCUCGUAAACAGAGCAGCUACAUUGAAUCAGGCUACAAAUUUCUUCAGGGCAUCUUUCAGUUUCCUCAGAAAUCUGAGCACUGCAACACCAAUUAAGGAUCCUUCAAUCGAGUCGUCUGCUGAUGGACCUAAGAAGCCCAAACGGAAGAAGAAGAAGAAUUUAUUUGAGGUGGCUCAGUUUCUACCCAAUUGGGGUCUCGGUUAUCACAUGGCCAAGACUCAUUGGGCCAAUGUCUCCUAUGAAAUCACAAAAAUCAAUCUUUAUAAGGAUGGUAGACAUGGUAAGGCUUGGGGACUCGCUUAUAGAGAUGGUUUACCAAUUGCUGACGCUCCCAAGAAAAUAAGUGGUGUACAUAAGAGGUGCUGGAAAUACAUUGCAAAUUUGAAGAAACCAGAGGGAAGUCUUGAUCAAGUAAAGGAAGCCGAAGAAAGUACCCCUAAUCCAGAUGUUCAAGCUGCUUGAAGCUGUUUCCUUAACUGUUUUAGCAAUGGAAACUUCAAUAUCAUUACAGAUUUGUUUUGUUUUGUUUGUGGUGCCAUAAUGCCAAUGAAGUAGCAUUCAAUGAAAGCUUCAGGCUGUUGUCUUUUACCAUGAAGUUAUAGCAACUGGUGCCUUGAGAAAGAACUGAUGGAAAUCUGUGGACACAUUUUC
rnacentral:misc_RNA from 1 species